GAUAUGUGUUCAGACUCCCAACUACGCUCCUAACUCCUGCUCAGUCAUGUGCAAGGGAACAAAAAUGCAGUCAUGGACACCCAGCUUUUUGCCUCUUCAGGGACAAACGCACAUAUCUAGAUGUACAAUGGGCUGCUCAAAGAAUAAGUGAAGAUGAGAGGCCACAACAACUGGUCAUUUCCUCCAGCUACAGAAAGGCAGAAAGAUAAAAGGUCAAAACUAGAAAUAGAGCUCCUGAACAAGCGAAAACAGAACAUUUUUAUUUGUGGGAAUUUUUGUAACUGGAUGGGAAACUUCUCCUUAUGAACAUGGUUGACAAUUUAAUGCAAUAUAGACACUACUCCAUAUAUAUGGCAGAAGACUUCUGGAUCAAUCAAAACCUACUUGGAGAUUAGUCUGAACAUAUGACAACUAUUGCCAUUUUCAGCAGAAGAGUCCUUUCUACUUAGAGGGCCUUUGGAGUAGAAAAAUGUUAUAUUUGAAUGGAACAUAGCAAUUUUUUUCCAGUGGCCAAUGGAACCCUUCCAAAAUUUCUGCAAAAGAAGACAUGCUCCAACACUUCUUGAAAGCAUCACUAAGAAAGCAUGUCUAAUUAUAUUUCUAUGAAUUCAUCGGAGAGCAAGGCUCUAAGUCCAUAGACAGCAGAAAUCAGGCCUUUAUUUCCAAUUUGAUCUCAAAAAUUACAAUGGAACGUUACAACAAGACUUUGCCAGAAAAUAUCCAGUUACCUCCUGCACCACACACAGUGAUGACCUACAUGAAUAUGAUCUCCAGUUAUUAUCAUGUUUGCCUUCCAAACAUCCCCUGAGAUGUAAGUCAACAUUAGACACAGGACACAGCCAGAAGGCCACAUUGAAGUGCUUUCCUCCAAUCCAUAAGCCGGCAGAAAAGUAUGUAUUGCAUUGUACUCAUUGUUAAUCCUUGUUCUGCCUGAGUAAUCAAGCCAGCAUUUUAAUGCAGCCCAACAGUUUUAGUGUAAGACAAAGUAAGGGCUGGUAAAUUAGUGGAAAAAUCAACCACUAACUAUUUUUUCAUAACAUGCAGUAGGACAAAGAUGAUCAAGUGCAGGGAAUUAGAAUAGUUGGUUGAGGAACUAGUCAAAAUGAAUAGUCAAUACUAUACAGACAGGGAAGAUGGGUGUGGGUUAAAGUGGGAAGGAGCAAUUGAUAAUAAGGGAGGUCCAUCCUUAACUUGUAAACUUUGAAGGAAUAAGAUAGAGCUUUUGAACACUGACAUUGGAAACUUUUGAAAAUAUCCUGGAUGGCUAAGGAAAAAAAAAGGAUCAUCGAACAAAUCAACUCAGAGUUCUCAUUCGAGGCCUAAAUGAUCAGGCAUCAACGCAGGGAAAGUUGGAAGCAAAGAAGAGGACAAUAAUAAUUAAGAUGGAUAGACUCAGUUACAAGGACUAUGGGGAUGCUGUUGGAUAAGCUGAAGGACCAGGUUAGGGACAGAUCCUCAUGGAGAAAAUCUAUU